rnacentral:tRNA from 1 species
GUGCCCGUAGCUCAGUUGGAAGAGCAACGGCCUUCUAAGCCGUGGGUCGCAGGUUCGAAUCCUGCCGGGCACG